ensembl:lncRNA
UUUUUUUUUUUCUUCUUCUCUGUUUCUUUCUCUUCUUCUUUUAUAUAACAUUGUAUAUCUGAAAUUCCAAACUUUACUCUAGAUUUUUAAUUUAUGCUUUUUGGUAUUUGAUAUCAAUUUUGCACCUGUAUUUUCUUUAUAAUUUUUGUGACAUUGUUCGUAUUUGUUUGUUUGUUUUCUCUCUUUAUUUUUCUUCUUCUUUUUUUUUUAACAUUGUAUUUUUGAAAUUCCAAACUCUACUCUAGAUUUUUAAUUUUUGCUUUCUGGUAUUAGUUAUCAAUUUUGUACUUGUACUUUCUUUAUAAUUUUCGCGACCUUGUUUGUUUUUGUUUGUUCAUUUUUUCUCUCUUUCUUUUCCUUCUUCUUUUCUUUAACAUCGUAUUUUUGAAAUUCCAAACUCUACUCUAGAUUUUUAAUUUUCGCUUUCUGGUAUUAGUUAUCAAUUUUGUACCUGUACUUUCUCUAUAAUUUUCGCGACCUUGUUUGUUUUUGUUUGUUUGUUCUUUCUCUCUUUCUUUUCCUUCUUCUUUUCUUUAACAUCGUAUUUUUGAAAUUCCAAACUCUACUCUAGAUUUUUAAUUUUUGCUUUUAUGUAUUUGUUACCAAUUUUGUACCUAUAAGGACCCAAUCUUCAGGACCCAUUUUUCACUAGGGAGUGAGAUUACUGGCUUGACUGCUCUCUCUCCCUUUGGACCCUCCUUUUUCUCCACCAGGUCGCCUGUGUCUCCUCCCUAACCCCUCUCUACUCUACCCAACUCUGUGAAUUUCUGUGUGUUCCAGACGGUGGAGAACACUUACGGAACUGAUUACUGGCUGGAUCUGUCUCCCUCCUUUUCAUUCCCCCCUUUUAUCCUUCUGGCCACCUCUGUUACCUUCCUCCUUCUUCUCUUCUCUGUAUAACCCCGUGAACAUCUCUGAGUGGUCCAGUUGUGGAGUGCACAUAAGGAAGUGACUACUGGCUAGCCCACUCUCUCCACUAUUGAUUUACCUCAUCUCAUUUGGGUCACCUCUAACUCCCUCCUCCCUCUUCUCUUCUCCAUGUAACCCUGUGAACCUCUCUGAGUGACCCUCACUGUAGAGAAACUUAUCAUCUUUAAUGUAGAUGUUUUAUCAAUGGUGCUGUAUAGAAGGAGAAGUUUUGAAACUACUGUAAAAAUAAGACCAAUAAUCGGAAGCAGGAGACUUAAGUCCAAACCCUGACUCCAGGGAUCUCCUGACUCCAAGGAACAUUCAUUGACAGGAGCUCAUCAAAUGCCUCCAUACCGACACUGAAACCAAGCACCACACAAGGGCCAAUAAGUUCCAGGGCAAGACAUACCAAGCAAAUUCUCCAGCAACAAAGGAACACAGCCCUGAGCUUCAAGAUACAGGCUGCCCAAAGUCACCCCAAAACUAUAGACAUCUCAUAACUCAUUACUGGACAUUUCAUUGCACUCCAGAGAGAAGAAAUACAGCUCCACCCACCAGAACACCGACACAAGCUUCCCUAACCAGGAAACCUUGACAAGCCACCUGUACAAACCCACACACAGUGAGGAAACGCCACAAUAAAGAGAACUCCACAAACUGCCAGAAUACAGAAAGGACACCCCAAACUCAGCAAUUUAAACAAGAUGAAGAGACAGAGGAAUAGUCAGCAGAUAAAGGAACAGGAUAAAUGCCCACCAAACCAAACAAAAGAGGAAGAGAUAGGGAAUCUACCUGAUAAAGAAUUCCGAAUAAUGAUAGUGAAAUUGAUCCAAAAUCUUGAAACUAAAAUGGAAUCACAGAUAAAUAGCCUGGAGACAAGGAUUGAGAAGAUGCAAGAAAGGUUUAACAAGGACCUAGAAGAAAUAAAAAAGAGUCAAUAUAGGGACUCUCUCUCCCACGUGCGUGCGCUCUUUUCUCUCUCUCUCUUUCUCUCUCUCACUCUCCUGCUAUCUUCUAAAUAAAAUAGAGCUGUAACACUGAUUUGCCUAAGAACUGUAGCACGGUUUGUCCAAGACCUGAGAGCUGUGACGCGCCGAGGGCUUUAAUGUCCGUUGCUCCAAAUCUUUGUUGUGACGAGACAAAGAACCGAGGAACAUACACUCGCGUGACAUCUAUGGUGCCGUGACUCGGAUUUAACCUGGCUGAACCAACCUCUACGUGGAAGAGGCCAAGCACAACAGGAGCCCAGCUCAGCGAAGCUCCCGUGCUAGAAGCGGAAGGCGAAGAAACCCAGCGCAGGGGAAGCUCCAUCGUGCUGGAAACCAGGACAGCGAAAAACAAACUCAGCAGAAAGCUCACACGGCCCAGUCUCAGAUUCCAGAAGACCUCCGGUUAAGAAACCUUGGACCACUGGACAAAACCCCAAGAGGGAUUGUCAGAAGAUCCUCUGACCAAUCCUGAGGAAAUCUGGUACACUGAUGGAAGCAGCUUUGUCUUGGAUGGGAAAAGAAGAGCCGGGUCAACCAGCUACAACAUGCAGUGCCAGUUCAACAAAGAUAUAAAACUACAGCUGACCACGGAAAAUAUCACACACCCUCGGACACCGCUAUAAGGACUCUGAGGCUUGAGACUAGCAAGAGGGGGAGGCCCAAUACCCCUCGCCGCCCCAGUUCAGUAGGAAGUAGCCAGAAAGACCUCAAAGCACCUAUUCCCAAAGAAUUGGGCCUCCCAUCUCUUGAGGGGGGAAUGUUAGGUAGGUAGAAUAGGGAAAAGGAGUCCAAAAUGGCGGUGGCUAAAAGACAAGGAAGGUCCAAGGACCAGAGUGAAGACUUCAGGCAGAACAAACAGAACAAACAGCACUCCUGGCUAAGCCCAAUUUGCAUAGCGCAGGCCCAGGUGGAGGAAAAAAACAUAUAAAAGGAGGAGCCAAAGCGCUCUCUCUCGGACUCUCUCUCCCGCGUGCGUGUGCUCUUUUCUCUCUCUCUCUCUCACUCUCCUGCUAUCUUCUAAAUAAAAUAGAGCUGUAACACUGAUUUGCCUAAAAAAAAAAAAAAAAGAGUCAAUAUAUAACGAAUAAUGCAAUAAGUGAAAUUAAAAACACCCUGGAGGCAACAAAUAGUAGAAUAACAGAGGCAGAAGACAGGAUUAGUGAAUUAGAAGAUAGAAUGGUAGAAAUAAAUGAAUCAGAGAGGAUAAAAGAAAAACGAAUUAAAAGAAAUGAGGACAAUCUCAGAGACCUCCAGGACAAUAUUAAACGCUACAACAUUCGAAUCAUAGGGGUUCCAGAAGAAGAAGACAAAAAGAAAGACCAUGAGAAAAUACUUGAGGAGAUAAUAGUGGAAAACUUCCCUAAAAUGGGGAAGGAAAUAAUCACCCAAGUCCAAGAAACCCAGAGAGUACCAAACAGGAUAAACCCAAGGAGAAACAC